rnacentral:rRNA from 1 species
AUUGAACGCUGGCGGAGUGCUUUACACAUGCAAGUCGAACGGCAGCACGGACUUCGGUCUGGUGGCGAGUGGCGAACGGGUGAGUAACAUAUCGGAACGUAUCCAAUAAUGGGGGAUAACUAAUCGAAAGGUUGGCUAAUACCGCAUACGCCCUACGGGGGAAAGCAGGGGAUCUUCGGACCUUGCGUUAAUGGAGCGGCUGAUAUCUGAUUAGCUAGUUAGUGAGGUAAAGGCUCACCAAGGCGACGAUCAGUAGCUGGUCUGAGAGGACGACCAGCCACACUGGAACUGAGACACGGUCCAGACUCCUACGGGAGGCAGCAGUGGGGAAUUUUGGACAAUGGGCGCAAGCCUGAUCCAGCCAUUCCGCGUGAGUGAAGAAGGCCUUCGGGUUGUAAAGCUCUUUCGCAAGGGAAGAAAACUUACUUUCUAAUAAAGAGUGAGGUUGACGGUACCUUGAUAAGAAGCACCUGCUAACUACGUGCCAGCCGCCGCCGUAA